rnacentral:rRNA from 1 species
UGGUGGAAUGUAAUCGUUUAACGACGUGCAUGUUCACAAUUUUGUGAUAUGUAUCAACUCCGUUGAAUAAAAUUCUGGGUAGAUGAUUGAUGAUGACAAAUAUCUAUUCACAUAUCUUGACCAAUGCUUGUGCCAGCAGUCGCGGCAACACAAGUAAGAUUAGUGUUAUUCAUCUUUAUUAGGUUUAAAGGGUACCUAGACGGCAAAAGCAACUUCUAAAAAGUAUAUCUUUGCUAGAGUUUUAUGUGAGAGGUAAAUAUUAGGACUAUUGGUGUAGGGAUGAAAUCCCUUGAUACUAAUAGAAUGUGUAACGGCGAAGACAACCCUCUAUGUAUAAACUGACGUUGAGGGACGAAGGCUUGGGGAGCAAACAGGAUUAGAUACCCUAGUAGUCCAGGCAGAAAAUCAUGAAUGUUAUAGGUUAGAUUAUAAAUUGGCGUAUAAAUGAAAGUGUAAGCAUUCCACCUCAAGAGUAAUGCGGCAACGCAGGAACUGAAAUCAUUAGACCGUUUCUGAAACCAGUAGUGAAGUAUGUUUUUUAAUUCGAUGACCCUCGAAAAACCUUACCACAAUUUGAAUGGUAUUUAAAUAGCUAUUACUUUUUUAUAUUAAUAGUUACUUGGAUAUAACAAGCGUUGCACGGCUGUCUAAAGCUAAUGUCGUGAGAUUUUGGUUAGAUCCAUUAAAUUAGCGUAAUCCCUUGCUUUAUUUACCAACGAUGAGGAUAGUGCUUGGUUGCGUCAGCAACUGGGAUAAUAGGAAGAAGACAGUCAUCAUGCCUUAUAUG